AUUGAACGCUGGCGGCAGGCUUAACACAUGCAAGUCGAGCGGAGUGAUGGUGCUUGCACUAUCACUUAGCGGCGGACGGGUGAGUAAUGCUUAGGAAUCUGCCUAUUAGUGGGGGACAACAUCUCGAAAGGGAUGCUAAUACCGCAUACGUCCUACGGGAGAAAGCAGGGGAUCACUUGUGACCUUGCGCUAAUAGAUGAGCCUAAGUCGGAUUAGCUAGUUGGUGGGGUAAAGGCCUACCAAGGCGACGAUCUGUAGCGGGUCUGAGAGGAUGAUCCGCCACACUGGGACUGAGACACGGCCCAGACUACUACGGGAGGCAGCAGUGGGGAAUAUUGGACAAUGGGGGGAACCCUGAUCCAGCCAUGCCGCGUGUGUGAAGAAGGCCUUAUGGUUGUAAAGCACUUUAAGCGAGGAGGAGGCUCUUUUGGUUAAUACCCAAGAUGAGUGGACGUUACUCGCAGAAUAAGCACCGGCUAACUCUGUGCCAGCCGCCGCCGCAG
rnacentral:rRNA from 1 species